UACUGAGGGUGCAAGCGUUAAUCGGAAUUACUGGGCGUAAAGCGCGCGUAGGUGGUUUUAUAAGCCAGAUGUGAAAGCCCCGGGCUCAACCUGGGAACUGCAUUUGGAACUGUGAAACUAGAGUCUUGUAGAGGGUGGUAGAAUUUCAGGUGUAGCGGUGAAAUGCGUAGAUAUCUGAAGGAAUACCGGUGGCGAAGGCGGCCACCUGGACAAUGACUGACACUGAGGUGCGAAAGCGUGGGUAGCGAACGGG
rnacentral:rRNA from 1 species